rnacentral:rRNA from 1 species
GACGAACGCUGGCGGCGUGCUUAACACAUGCAAGUCGAGCGGGGCGGCGAACGGGUGCGUAACGCGUGAGUAACUGCCCCCCUCCCUGGGAUGACAGUUGGAAACGGCUGCUAAUACCGGAUAGUGGGGGAUGACUCGCGUCCGAUCAGCUUGUUGGUGGGGUAGUGGCCUACCAAGGCGACGAGGGGUAGCCGGCCUGAGAGGGUGACCGGCCACGUUGGGCGGAGGUACGGCCCAGGCUGCGCAGGGAGGCAGCAGUGGGGGAUAUUGCGCAAGGGGCGAAAGGCUGAUGCAGCGAGGCCGGGUGGGGGAUGAAGGCUUUGGGGUUGUAAACCUCGUUCGCUAUCGAAAGGGUAGGUGGAGAAGAAGCGCCGGCUAACUACGUGCCAGCAGCCGCGGUAAUAC